UUGAAGUAUUGAACAACAGUGCUCGAUAAUUAUUGUCAUAAAAUAAAAAAACCCUAAGAGCGGCGGAAGGAGAAGCCCGACUGCAUCACAACCUUCGUCUAGCGGCGAUCUCGGCAUGGGCCUCGCUUACGCUGCUCGGUCUGCUGCCGGACGGGGAUUCUAAGUGGAACGAUUGGAAGGGAUGAGGCUUAAAGGUUUUGGUGGCUGUUUGUUUUCGUUUUCAGGUUGAAUGUCUGAGAUGUGGCGGCAUUUAGUGCACAAUCGGAGGCCUUGUUGCUUUGCUUCUUGUUUUCUGAAUUGACGACGGCAUGGAUUGGUAUGGAAUUGGAGGUGGCAACGUCACAUGGGAAGGAGAUCGGGGUCUGUUUCUCGUGAGGCAGUUCAGUGCUUGGGAUGGUUUUUGCGCAGCUUUUCGUGGCGGAGGAUCCCAUGGCAGAGGAUGCGAGUGUGGCAGUGUUCAUGGGGACGAUUUCGGGGCGGGUGAGCAGGGCAGUGCGGUUGCGGCAGCGGAGGUCAAAGAAAGUGCAGUAAUGGUCGCACAUUGAUGGAGGGUGGAAACUGGAUCUGGGCUCAAGCAGGCAUUUGGGCUUUGUGGGCUUUCUCUUGCAGUUGCUAAAAUUGUAGGCUAGGGUUUGCUUUUAGCCCAUUACUAAGUGUUUAGAUUUAUCUAUUUAUGCUAAAUCCUAUUUUAGGAACCUAAGCAUUUGUGUCCCUAAUUGCUAUGCUUUUUAUAGCUCGAUUAGGUUCACUUUUUCUUUUUAGAAAUAAGUGAUCACUGAAUGUAUAAUGAUUGGUGCUAGCAUGUCAAGUCCUUAACCUGUUCAAGAUAUGACGAGGGAAUGUAUGUAUUCGUGUCAUUUUGGCUUGUGUUAUAUGAAUGAAAUGGUCUUUUGGCUUUCCAUAAAAAAAAAAAUGAUAGCAGUUUAUGAACGGUUGCUUCUAAAAGCUGCUGCUAGUUAUGUACUUUCCAAAAAAACUGUUUUUAUGUAGUUAACCAAACUCUAUAAAAUUUAAAAAUUCGAAUAGAAGCUGAUUUUUUUUAUAAAAUGAAGCUAUACCAAACGAAGCCUUAGACAUUGUGGUGUCAAACACAGAUGUCAACGUCAAUUUCGGUGGUACCACAAAUGAGUGAUGGUCUUCGGUUGCUAUCAGGUCUCUGCACUCUAUUGGCAAUGCCAUGCGAAGAGUAUAGGAGAUGGAGCCAACAAUGACAGUUGCGACUUGCGAGGCUCCCGAUAUUUUGUUUUUGCGAAGGCUCUCACUCUGAUAGUUACGACUUGCGAGGCUCCUAAUGUUUUUUUUUGUCCUCUGACAUGUCGUGCGAAGAGUACCAUGGAUGAAUGAUAGUUGCCACCCGCCACUGAAAUCGGGUUUGCCAGCGAAGGCCACCAUACAACACCGCGGUCCAAGACAAAAUGUGUUAAAAGAAGUGCUUCAAAUCAUUGCUAUUUGACUUGGACAUGUUCUAAAUACGUCGAGGCAUUUCGAUUUUUUAGUUGACACCGGACAAAAUCAAGGAAAACCUCUGAAAUUAUUUUGAUAUUGGACUUUGGACAUAAUCCAGAUCUCAGAACCAACCUAGCGCAUCCGCCAAUCAGCACCAACCUUCCACAUGCCCAUGGUGGCUCCCUCUCUUGUACUGCUGUAGCUAUGUGGAUCCAUCCCACGUUGAUCCAAACUUGCGAUCCCAAAUCAAACCAUGGUGCAGCCCCGCCCUUCAACUAAGAAAAACACUCCCUUUAACUAAGAAAAACAGGCUAAGAAGCUUCGUGACCCCAACCUCUAAGCAUUGGACAAGCCAUCGAAGGAAACAACUUGUCCGGUUGAACGCAUCGUGCACCGGCGUUCAACCGGCAAGGCAAACGAUCAACAUCAGUGCAGUUGGACAUACGCUAUCGCGCUUGUUGGACAUGCGCUAUCGCGCUUUGCGACACUCUCUACUUUUCUCUCCAAUUUUCUUUCAUAGUUUUUUUUUCCUUUUGAUAUUCUUCAAAUCCAUAUGUAUAGAGUGGUGAUAGUUUGACUGGUAGCACCUUGCAAGCAUUGUUCAACUAAUAAUACUUAUAACUUUAACGAUUCAUAUUACUACUUUGAGAGCUAAUAUUACUAUUUUAAAGACUCAAUUUACAACGUUCAAAUUGAUGCAUGUCAUGCGUUAACACACCGUAACCUUACCCACUUUCUCCAUGAUGAAACAAACAAACAUAAACCACAACACAAAUCCUCUUUCAGCUUAUCCAAAUGGAACACUAAAGACAGAUAGGGGGAGGCACACUAAAUAAGGACCGUGUAGUAAAUAAGGAUGUCCUUUCUUAAGCAUUCAUGUACUCAUCAUAUCACAUAUUAAUGACUUAUCCAACAAAGUAGCACUUGAAGUCUCAUCCAACCUAAAGCAAGAUAAAACCCAAAAUAAGGCACCAAGUUGCAGUUAAAAUCCUGAGGUUUCAGUUCUCAAAUGCUUCCUUUCUUUAUUUCAUCAGUGGAUGUAUAUUUAUUAAUGAUUGCACCAGAAAGGUAAAAAAAAUCCAAUAGAUCUUCACAUGACUGCUAAGAGAAGAACGAAAAUCUCAACUAGAAAACUUCUGACAGCUUAAUAUCACACUCCGUUAGUGACAAAUACAAACAAAAAGGGAAGCGAACAGCACAUCUAAAACUUCUACUUGGACUUAUGCUGAGUCUGAGUAUAACGUUGAAUCCCGUAGAUAUCAACAAUCCCAGGAGGGAAGACGGGAUCAGUAGCUGCUCUAACAGCAACCUUUGCUACAGCCGUAACAUUCACAGGAGGUGUAAAGAGAGGGCCCACUAGAGGCAGCUGGUUGAGAGGUCUUGUUUGUUGAAAUAACUGCAGUUAUUUAAACAAAUCAGCUUACUAUAAUUUUGUGAUAUAAAAAAGAAGAAAAGCUUAAUAUAAUUUUACCAUAGAACUCCACUUUUAACCAAAGAAAGUGGAGUGUAAUGAGUAAAAUAUCAAUGUAUCAAAAAGAAAAUAAGUGAAACAUAUAGCACAGCGGAGUGCCAGAAUCAUUACCCUUCAAGAAAUAAAGAAAUUAUGAUUUUUUUAUUUUUUUUAUUGAAGUUUCUUAAACUGUUCUAUCAAUGAGGAAAAGAAAAACUGAGUCUUAGCCUAGAUAAAUGGCCAAUGACAGAGGUAACUUGCUCAAUGAUGAUUAUGAGAGUAUAUUGAUUUUCAAACCAUGUUCGCGAAGAAUAUGUGGCCCUUUUUGGGUUAAUAUUUUUUACCAGAAUUUAACAACACCAAUUAGCAGGUUCUGGCAUAAAUGGGCAAAUGUAUGUGGCAUUACUAUAUGUAUCAUAUGAAUAAUUAUCAAUUUACCAUCUCCAGCGGAGAACCGAUUACACCAAGAGGUAACUUUAUGCUCCCAACACUUCGAGUCCCGUAAAUAAAUCCAGGCCUUAAAAUCACUCCUGAAAGGAUAUUGAGUAACUUAGUGCUUUAAGAAGAUGAUGUAUUGGAGAGGCAACAUGUAGACAUUGCCAGACAAAUAGUUUCAUGAAGGUAUUUAAUUACUUGAUGUGAAAUUCAAGUAUUGGUAUCUAAAUCAACAGUCUCAAGCAAGGUUAUCAACAUAUAUCACAGAUGAACUGCUAGGCAUGAGAAUGCUACUCUGAAACGGUAAGAGAGCUUACCUCCGUAAGGGAAUUUGGUUAGUAUCUCUGUUUCAGCAGCUCUCUGUAUUCAACAAGAUCAAAUAAAGAAUCUUUCUCAGAUAACAAUAGAAUUAACAUAUGUGGUCAUCAGCAAACUCAUCAUGAUGAUUCUUACAACGACAGGAAACUGACCAUGCAGUGGUAAAAUCAAGAAAGCUAAAGCUCGGGGCAUUUGUCUUUAAACUUAUAAGUACUCUAUGACCUAAUAACUAACUUUACAUGUUAUAUGCCCCUUUACUUUGAAAAGAACACUCCCUUCAAACAAGAAGGAAUACUCUAGACCCAAAAAAAAAAAAAAAAAAGAAGGAAAAAACACAAGAAAUGUUGUGAAAAGAUCAUGAACAAAUGUCAAACAUUUAUCAAGAGAGUCCUCAAGCAUUGAAAAGUGAAAAUUCACGUCCUUAUAAAGUACAAGUAAACUCAUAGAUAACAUACCUUCCCCUCAUAAUAUCCUCGCACCAAGUAAUUUGCCAAGCCAAAAUCAGCAGCAGAGACAUACACAAAUCUUUUCACACCUAUCAUUCAAAAAAAUAAAAAAAAUAAUGUACAACACCAAAGAUGUUGCCAAAUAGACAAAGCAAUUUUGAAACGUAUAUGAGUAUGUACCAUGCUCAGAAGCUGCUCUAACUGCAUUGAUGUUUGCAGUCCCAUUAAUCUUAUACAUGUAAGAAUUGGAGCCAAAGCCACCAACACAGGAUAUCUAGGACAAAUAAAUUUAAUCAGAAAACAAACAAAAAUCUCCUAUAGGAAAAGCAAAGCAACACCCUUUCCAAAAUCAAAGGGGAAUUUCACUGCUAAUAAUAUCAUAAUCACAAAUGGAACCAUAAACGGAGUUUUCAGGGGGAGUACGGGAGAACCAUAUAUCAGGUGGAUACAGGGGGUGUCUGUGUGUGCAUGCACUUAUUGGUUAAAUGGGAAUCAAGUAAAACAGGGUGUUGAGGGACUGCAUACAACAGAUGUGACACCGUCGAGAGCAUCCUUCCAUGAAUCAGUUGAUAGAAGGUUCCCUGGAAAGGGAAAUAAUGAUUAGAGGCAUGACACAGACAAAAGAAUGAGCAAAUCAAUAAACACACUAUGCAAGAAAGCAAACCUUGAUACCAGGUCACAUUGUUGGCCCAUGAAUCAUGUAACUUUGACUUGCCAGACCUGUGACACAAAAUAAUAACAUAUAGAAUUAAGAUGGUAUGCGAAAUCAAACAAACUAAUCAGUUAAAUGGGGGAUUAGCAGAAGCUGCUCAAGACAACAGAAUUAAAAUAGCCAAUGAAGUAAAGAAAAUCUUAAAUUUUGAUCAAUGCGCCAAACAGAACCAGCAGUGCCUAAGAAGAGUCUGGCCUUGUGAAAAUCCCAGUUAUGAUUCCUGCUACUAACAUGAAGCACUCUUAUUACUUCGUUUCAAAUAAAAACAAUUUCUAGUAUGUCUGUCUAUAUGCCAUUCACACUCCAUAUAAAAUACAUAAAUAACUGAUUGGUAGACGUUCAAGUAUUAUAUGGACACCAGAAUACCCGUAUACUAACCUAUUGUUUUUUUACCGGUGCUGAAAUUAAAGCAACUUUAUAGUGACAAAACUCUAUUCUUAGAAAAUAUUCAGAUUGCUUGAAUACCUAAACGUUCCGAUACCAGUGGCCUUGUGAAAAUCCCAGUUAUGAUUCCUGCUACUAUCAUGAAGCACUCUUAUUACUUCGUUUCAAAUAAAAACAAUUUCCAGUAUGUCUGUCUAUAUGCCAUUCACACUCCAUAUAAAAUACAUAAAUAACUGAUUGGUAGACCUUCAAGUAUUAUAUGGACACCAGAAUACCCGUAUACUAACCUAUUGUUUUUUUAUCGGUGCUGUAAUUAAAGCAACUUUAUAGUGACAAAACUCUAUUCUUAGAAAAUAUUCAGAUCGCUUGAAUACCUAAACUUUCCGAUACUAGUGAAUAACUCUUCAGCAUCAAAUGGAAAGGAAAAAAGUUAUACCUGCUCAGGCUAGCAACAGACAGUCCACGAUCUAAUGCUUCUUUACAAACAUGUGAGCCAACAAAUCCAUUUCCACCCAACACAAGCAACUGAAGUAAGAUGCAUACAAAUAAAAAUUAAAAUGAUAGCUCAAUAGCAAACCUAUAUAGCCUACAAAGCAAGACAGUACCUUCUCUGUUGGAGGAGGGGGGACUUGAAUAGUCUCUGCUUCCUCAACUUUGAAGGGCUCAUCAACCUUAUUAAAGUCAUUUGAGAAAUACCUCCCAUUUUUAGGUGCAGUCAUGAUACUACAUUUACACAAAUGAGAGAAUGAGAACAGAUAAUACCACACUAGGAUACAUGUUUUGGAUAAGUAGGGAAAUAGUGAGUCACCCAAUAUAAGUAUAUAACUAUUAUCGAGAAAACGUUAAAUACUAAGAACUGAGAUGUUUACAAUAAAUAAAUACAUGAUACCAACUUAUUCCAAAGUAUAAACUUUAUAUUGAAGAAGAAUUUAACUGAACAAGAACAUGUGAAGCAAAGGAAGUAGUUGAACAUUUACAAUUGACUAUUAUGAUCCUUUAAACGACACAUAUACAUACAUACAUACAUACAUAUAUAAAUAUGUAUGUAUAUGUGUGUGUGUAUUCCAAAGACCAUUUAAUUUUUUUUUUUUUUUUUUAAUUUUAUGGUUAAACACCUUAAUAUGCCGUACCCAGAAAUUCAACAAUGGAAUACUUCAUGUAAUAUUGUAACAAGUCAUGAAUCAAUGAAAGAUUCAUGGUAAAAUCUUUCCAUGAUGCAUUUUUUUUUGGCUGAUAAUGAUAAAGAGAUAAAAUGGUAUAUACUUUUCGACUAAAAUUUAAUAUUAUUAGUUCAUUUGAUUACGCUUGACAAAAACAACAUACAGUGAUACAACAGUAAUACAUAUUCAUGAACUGACAGAAGAUAAAAUUUGUGAAGAAAGCCCAAAAACUAUACUUUGAUUGAAACUUUGAUUGAAACUUAAGAGUUUUAGAAAUUUCAUUACUAUCCCAGUCAUCGUCUACAGCCAACAAUGGAUUAUGUUCAUCAGAAAGAACAAAAUCAAUACCCUUAAGAACCGCAUUCAAAGCCCAAGUAGCAUAUAAGAGAAUAAAAAUCGACUCGGAAAAAGAAGAAGAAAAAGAAAAACAUACAAGGGCCUGGGAAGUGAUGAUCUUGAAUGGAUCAACCGCGAGAUGACCGUCCUCAUUUGAAAUUUCCGUUUCCACACAAUGCUUUCUUCUUGCUUUUUUCUGAAGAUUUCUCCGAUUCAAUAUCUCAAUAAAUGCCCGGAGCACGAGUAAUCGGAAAAGUGUAGCUUCUUCUCGCAGACGACUGAUUUGGUAUAAAGAGCGAGUUUGGGAGAGACAACGUACCACAGAUGGCGCGUAAAGGCAAUGGACAUGUGGUUCGUUAACGGCCAAGAGCUACUACGGAGGAGGAAGCAAGUCUAGAUGGUGAACCACGCGCCUGGGGAGUAUUCUACUUUUUUAUUUAUUAUUAUUAUUAUUAUUAUUAUUAUUAUUAUUUUUUUUUUUUUUUCAAUUGAAGAUGAAAAAAGUAAAGUACAACCUUGUCAUCUCGAAUAACAAAGUCAACAUUGUUCGGGGUGGAUUUCGAACAACCGUCUGGUGCGAGCGUGCCAACACCUUGAGGCGGUGCGAUUGUCUUGACCUUGAGCGUUUGCGCGCUUCUUCUGACUUCUGUUCAAGUGGGCUGUGAAGAGGGACUGUCAACCAUGCUACUAAGACUCUUUUACAAAGACCUAGGACGAAUCCUUAAGAUUUACUUAGUACCAAAAUUAAAAAGAUAUUUGUUAGAGAGGUGAAUCUCUAACAAUGGGGGAGGACUUGUGCUCAUGAUGAGACUUUAUGAACUGGGGGCUGUCUUUGCCGACUGGCGGGCUUUUGGUGAGUGAUGAGAGAUUUGCCAUCUGGUGGGCUUUCGGUGGUGCUCUAUGGAGAUGCUUUUUUGGUAGAUUGGGUGCUCCUGGGGAGGCGUCCAAUUUGCAGGUAUGCUAGGGUUUGUUGAAUUGUGUGUCCUUGUCUCGUUCACCUUGAACCUCUCUAUAUAUAUGCAACCAAACAGCUAGGAUUCGCGAAUGACUUGUCCCCGAAGCAAUCAAAUCUCUUAUCAGAUCAGGAAAGAUACUUUCCUAGUCGAGUUCUGAAAUAAAAUCUCUGAGAUAUCCUACAAAUCUUCCGUCAGUAAUUACCUAAUAGAAAAAGAAAAAAAUUGUACAAACAUUUGGACUGCAAUUAUUGGUCUAUGGGCUAACUUAUUACAAGAUAACCAAUAUAUAAAAUUGGCCCAAACAUUGCCCCCAUGCCUUGAAAUCUAGUCCAGGUUUAUCAACAUGAUUGAAGAGGCCUAACCCUUCAUUUCUCACAAAAGGUAUCUUUUAACCCCCGAAUGGGUAUAAUUGUAAAAUUGCCAACCGAGAGCUCACUUCACGAAGAAAUGCGAUCGGGUCUUUUCCAAGCCAAAAUGCAACGUUUCGAAGAACCCUUCACUGCUUAGACAUCGAAACCCAAAAAUGGCUCCACAAAAUCUGACUGUAGAGAAUGCUCAAGAAUUCAAAGCCAAAAUGCUUAGCCUUCGACCCUAUGAUUCUGCAACCAGAUCUAGCCUUAAACUCUUCACAAAUGCUACAACAAGUUUCGGACCAUGGAUGAACCCAAUACCACCUUCGAUCUGCAAAGGUUAUCACCAUGCAACUCGAGUCACAAUUUUAGCCUUUAGGGAUUCUGAAGCAAACUUUCAGAAAUGGCAGAUAAGCCAUCAAACUGUGAGGAUAGGAGCCUGGCCACACCCAUCCGUGUGCAUGCUCUUUUGGUACCAGAAUCGCAGAGCCUUAGAUUUAGAAAGAUGCAAACAGGAUGGUAUUGCGGAUGCGAUUGAUUUAAGCUUUCAACUUCAGAGUACAUGGGCGAACAGAGCUCCAAUGAUGGCGGCAACAACAAGAGUUGUUUCUUUGAGUUUUUGGAGGUCUGGAAUCUUGGAACUUUAGAGUACAGGGAUUAAUCGGCUCUAGGCGGAGAUUUUGCUGAAAUGAAGCGGAACUUGUAUACUCAAAUCUGAUUGAGAUUUUCGACUUCCGUCAGUUAGAGAAGUACAAUGAGAUCAUUAUAUUAUAAUAUAAAAAUAUAAGAACAUUCAAAUUUGGCCGAAAAUUCGUGUGUUAUAGCAAGAGAUGUUGGCCGAAACGAAGCGGAACUCGAUCGUAUACUCAAAUCUGAUUGAAAUUUUCGAGUUCCGUCAGUUAGAGAAGUACCUUGACAUCAUGAUUUGAAUACAAAAAAAGAAUGGUUAAAAGAUAAGAACAUUCAAAUUUGACUUAAAACUCGUGUACUAUAGCAAGAGAUUUUAACUGAAACGAAGCUGAACUUGUAUGCUCAAAUCCGAUUGAGAUUUUCGAGUUCCACUAGUUCAAGAAGUACCUUGAAAACAUGAUUUGAUAACAUAAAAUGUUUGGAUAAAAUAUAAGAACAUUCAAAUUUGACCGAAAAUUCGUAUGCUAUAGUAAGUGAUUUUGGCCGAAAUGAAGCGGAACUCGUACACUCAAAUCCGAAUGAGAUUUUUGAGUUCCGUUAGUUCGAGAAGUACCUUGAAAACAUGAUCUGAUAACAUGAAAAGUUUGGUUAAAAUAUAAGAACAUUCAAAUUUCACCAAUAAUAUGAGAUUUUGACCGAAAAGAAGUGGAACUCGUAUACUAAAAUCCAAUUGAGAUUUUCGAGUUCCGUUAGUUUGAGAAGUACCUUGAGAUCAUCAUCUGAUAACAUAAAAAGUUUGGUUAAAAUAUAAGAACAUUCAAAUUUGCAAAAAAAUUACGUGUGCUAUAGCAAGAGAUUUUGGCCGAAACGAAGCGGAACUUGUAUAUUGAAAUCCGGUUGAGAUUUUUGAGUUCCGUCAGUUCGAGAAGUACCUUGACAACAUGACCUGAUACCUUGAAAAGUUUGGUUAAAAUAUAAGAACAUUCAAAUUUGACCGAAACUUCGUGUGCUAUAGAAAGAGAUUUUGGCUGAAACGAAACAGAACUCGUAUACUCAAAUCCGAUUAAGAUUUUCGAGUCUCGUCUAUUACAGAAGUACCUUGACAACAUGAUCUAAUAACAUGAAAAGUUUGGUAAAAACAUAUGAACAUUCAAAUUCGAGUGCUAUAGCUAGGGAUUUUGGCCAAAACAAAGCGGAACUCGUAUACUCAAAUCCGGUUGAGAUUUUCGAGUUCCGUUAAUUCGAGAAAUACCUUGACAACAUGAUCUGAUACCAUGAAAAGCUAGAAAAACUUAGAUUAAAAAAUAAGAACAUUCAAUUUUGACCGGAAAAACCGUGUGCUAUAGUAAAAUGUUUUGGGCCGAAAUAAGCGGAACUCGUAUACACUAAUCCAAUUGAGAUUUUCGGGUUCCGUCAGUUCCAGAAGUUCUUAGAGAUGGAGAUUUGAUAAUGGAAAAAGUUUGGUUCAGAAAUAAAAACAUUCAAUUUUGACCGAAAAAAUGUAGGCUAUAGCAAGAGGUUUUAGGCUGAUAUCAAGUAAGUCUCAUGUACACAAAUCAGAUUAAGAUUUUCGAGUUCCGUCUGCUCGAGAGGCACUUAGAAAUGAUGAUUUGAUAAUAGAAAAAGAUUGGUUAAAAAUAAGAACAUUCAAUUUUAACCGGAAAAACAGUGUGUUAUAGGCUGAUAUCAAGCAAGUCUCAUAUACACUAAUGAGAUAAAGAUUUUCGCGUUCUAUCUGCUCGAGAGGCACUUAGAAUUGACGGUUUGAGAAUAGAAAAAGUUUGGUUCACAAAUAAGAACUUUAAAUUUUGAUCGGAAAAACCGUGUGCUAUGCAAGGGGUUUUGGGCCGAAAUAAGCGGAAUUUGUAUACACAAAUCCCAUUGAGAUUUUUGGGUUCUGUCAGUUCGAGAAAUUCUCAGAGAUGAUGAUUUGAUAAUGAAAAAAGUUUGGUUCAGAAAUAAAAACAAUCAAUUUUGACGGAAAAAACCGUGUUAUAGCAAGAGGUUUUAGGCUGAUAUCAAGCAAGUCUCAUAUACAAAGGGUUUUGGGCCGAAAUAAGCGGAAUUUGUAUACACAAAUCAUAUUGAGAUUUUCGGGUUCCGUCAGUUCGAGAAAUUCUCAGAGAUGAUGAUUUGAUAAUGGAAAAGUUUGGUUCAGAAAUAAAAACAUUCAAUUUUGAUGGAAAAAACCGUGUGUUAUAACAAGAGGGUUUAGGCUGAUAUCAAGCAAGUCUCAUAUACAAUAAUCAAAUUAAGAUUUUCACGUUCCGUCUCCUCGUGAGGUAAUUAGUAACGAUGAAUUGAUAAUAGAAAAAGUUUGGUUCAAAAAUAAUAACAUUCAAUUUUGACCGGAAAAACCGUGUGCUAUUGUAAGGGGUUUUGGGCCGAAAUCAAGCAGAAUUGGUAUACACUAAUCCAAUUGCGAUUUUCGGGUUCCGUCAGUUCGAAAAAUUCUUAGAGAUAAUGAUUUGAUAAUAGAAAAAGUUUGGUUCAGAAAUAAAAAUAUUCAAUUUUGAAGGGAAAAACCAUGUGCUAUAACAAAAGGUUUUAGGCUGAUAUCAAGCAAGUCUCAUUUACAGUAAUCGGAUUAAGAUUUUCGCGUUUUGUUUGCUCGAGAGGCACUGAGAAAAGAUGAUUUGAUAAUAGGAAAAGUUUGGUUCAAAAAUAAGAAUAUUCAAUUUUGACCGGAAAAACCGUGUGCUAUAGCAAGAGAUUUUAGGCCAAAAUUAAGCGGAACUCGUAUAUACUAAUCCAAUUAAGAUUUUGGGGUUCCGUCAAUUCGAGAAGUUCUUAGAGAUGAUGAUUUGAUAAUAGUAAAAGUUUGGUUCCAAAAUAAGAACAUUCAAUUUUGUCCAGAAAAACCGUGUGUUAUAAUAAGGGGUUUUGGGCCGUAAUCAAGCCGAACUCGUAUACACUAAUCCAAUUGAGAUUUUGGGGUUCAGUCAGUUCGAGAAGUUCUUAGAUAUGAUGAUUUGAUAACAGAAAAAUUUUCGUUCAAAAAUAAGAACUUUCAAUUUUGUCCAGAAAAACCGUGUGCUAUAGUAAGGGGUUUCAGGCCAAAAUCAAGCCGUACUCGUAUACACUAAUCCAAUUGAGAUUUUGGGGUUCUGUCACCUCGAGAAGUUCUUAGAGAUAACGAUUUGAUUAUAAGAAAAAGUUUUCGUUAAAAAAAUAAGAACAUUUCAAUUUUGACCAAGAAAAACCGUGUGCUAUAGUAAGGGGUUGAGGCAGAAAUCAAACCGAACUCGUAUACACUAAUCUAAUUGAGUAUUUUGGGGUUAGCAGUUCGAGAAGUUCUUAGAGAUGCUGAUUUGAANNNNNNNNNNNNNNNNNNNNNNNNNNNNNNNNNNNNNNNNNNNNNNNNNNNNNNNNNNNNNNNNNNNNNNNNNNNNNNNNNNNNNNNNNNNNNNNNNNNNNNNNNNNNNNNNNNNNNNNNNNNNNNNNNNNNNNNNNNNNNNNNNNNNNNNNNNNNNNNNNNNNNNNNNNNNNNNNNNNNNNNNNNNNNNNNNNNNNNNNNNNNNNNNNNNNNNNNNNNNNNNNNNNNNNNNNNNNNNNNNNNNNNNNNNNNNNNNNNNNNNNNNNNNNNNNNNNNNNNNNNNNNNNNNNNNNNNNNNNNNNNNNNNNNNNNNNNNNNNNNNNNNNNNNNNNNNNNNNNNNNNNNNNNNNNNNNNNNNNNNNNNNNNNNNNNNNNNNNNNNNNNNNNNNNNNNNNNNNNNNNNNNNNNNNNNNNNNNNNNNNNNNNNNNNNNNNNNNNNNNNNNNNNNNNNNNNNNNNNNNNNNNNNNNNNNNNNNNNNNNNNNNNNNNNNNNNNNNNNNNNNNNNNNNNNNNNNNNNNNNNNNNNNNNNNNNNNNNNNNNNNNNNNNNNNNNNNNNNNNNNNNNNNNNNNNNNNNNNNNNNNNNNNNNNUCGUAUACACUAAUCCAAUUGAGUAUUUUGGGGUUUCCGGUCUAGCUCGAGAAGUUCUUAGAGUAUGAUGAUUGAAAUANACAAGUUGUNUAAUAGACAUCCAUUUGACCGGUAAAACGUGUNCUNAGUUAAGGGUUUCUACCGAAUCAGCCAACUCGUAUACACUAAUCCAAUUGAGAUUUUGUGGUUCCGUUAGUUCUAGAAGUUCUUAGAGAUGAUGAUUUGAUAAUAGAAAAAUUUUGGUUCCAAAAUACGUACAUUCGGUUUUGACCGGAAAAACCGUGUGCUAUGGCAAGGGGUUUCGGGCCGAAAUCACGCCGAACUCGUAUACACCAAUCCAAUUGAGAUUUUGGGGUUCCGUCAGUUCAACAAGUUCUUAGAGAUGAUGAUUUGAUAAUAGAAAAAGUUUUGUUCAAAAAUAAGAACAUUCAAUUUUGUCCAGAAAAACCGUGUGCUAAGCAAGGAGUUUUGGGCUGAAAUCAAGCUGAACUCGUAUACACUAAUCCAAUUGAGAUUUUGGGGUUCCUCAGUUCGAGAGGUUCUUAGAGAUGAUGAUUUGACAAUAGAAUAAGGUUCGUUCAAAAAUAAGAACAUUCAAUUUUGACUUGAAAAACCGUGUGCUAUAGUAAGUGGUUUUGUUCCGAAAUCAAGCCGAACUCGUAUAUAGUAAUCCUAUUGAGAUUUUCGGGUUCCGUUAGUUCAAGAAGUUCUUUGAGAUGAUGAUUUGAUUAUGUCGAUUCUUUUGAGUAAUAUAUCUGGAAAUGCCCGUUGAUUCCUUAUUAAGACGAUUUCGAACACAACUGGUACAUUCCAAAAUCACCGUUACUCGGACAUCUUUACCCUUGGCCAUGAGCCUCCUUUAGUUUUUGAUUCAUUCAAUACUUUAAAUUUCCGAUCCGAAAUGAGGAAGAAGAAAGGAACAAAAAAACAGGUAACUCGAAAUCUAAUUAUGAAAGAAAGAUUUUGUUGCAAUAAAUCAAUAUAUUAAUAAGUAAGUAAUAUAAUGAUUUCUAACUAUAUUACAUUACUAGAUUUAUAAUUUUAAAUUUCCGAACAACAUUUCAUUUUUAUUUAAGUAUCUUGUAUGAUAUUGUUGCCCCAAGCCGGGUUUGAAAUGAUCCAUGUUACGGAACCAAGACAAUCUAUCUUACUAAUAAAAAAUAACUCUAUAUUUUUCUUGCUUUCUUUCAACCUCGUUGAUAUAAACAUUGUUUGUACCGUAAGACUUUAUAGAAAAAGUUUGGUUCAAAAAUAAGAAAACUCAAUUUUGAUCGGAAAAGCGUGUGAUAGUAAGGGGUUUUGGGCCGAAAUCAACCUGAACUCGUAUACACUAAUCCAAUUGAGAUUUUCGGGUUCUGUCAGUUCGAGAAUUUCUUAGAGAUGAUGAUUUGAUAAUAGAAAAAGUUUCGUUCAAAAAUAAGAACAUUCAAUUUUGACCAGAAAAACCAUGUGUUAUAGUAAGGGGUUUUUGGCCGAAAUCAAGCCGAACUCGUAUACACUAAUNNNNNNNNNNNNNNNNNNNNNNNNNNNNNNNNNNNNNNNNNNNNNNNNNNNNNNNNNNNNNNNNNNNNNNNNNNNNNNNNNNNNNNNNNNNNNNNNNNNNNNNNNNNNNNNNNNNNNNNNNNNNNNNNNNNNNNNNNNNNNNNNNNNNNNNNNNNNNNNNNNNNNNNNNNNNNNNNNNNNNNNNNNNNNNNNNNNNNNNNNNNNNNNNNNNNNNNNNNNNNNNNNNNNNNNNNNNNNNNNNNNNNNNNNNNNNNNNNNNNNNNNNNNNNNNNNNNNNNNNNNNNNNNNNNNNNNNNNNNNNNNNNNNNNNNNNNNGUUCGAGAAGUUUUUAGAGAUGAUGAUUUGAUAAUUGAAAAAGAUUCGUUCCAAAGUAAGAUAUUCAAUUUUGACCAGAGAAACCGUGUACUAUAGCAAGCGGUUUUAGGCCGAAAUCAAGCCGAACUCUUAUACACUAAUGCAAUCGAGAUUUUGGGGUUCCGUCAGUUCGACAAGUUCUUAGAGAUGAUAGUUUGAUAAUAGAAAAAUUUUCGUUCAAAAAUAAGAACAUUCAAUUUUGACCAGAAAAACGUGUGCUGUAGUAAGCCGUUUUAGGCCGAAAUCAAGCCGAACUCGUAUACACUAAUCCAAUUGAGAUUUUGGAGUUCCGUCAGUUCGACAAGUUCUUAGAGAUGAUGAUUUGACAAUAGAAAAAGUUUCGGUCAAAAAUAAGAACAUUCAAUUUUGUCCAGAAAAACAGUGUGCUAUAGCAAGGAGUUUUGGGCCGAAAUCAGGCCGAACUCCUAUACACUAAUCCAAUUGAAAUUUUGGGGUUCCUUAGUUCGAGAAGUUGUUAGAGAUAAUGAUUUGAUAAUAGAAAAAGUUUGGUUGAAAAAUAAGAAUAUUAAAUUUUGACAAAAAAAAUACGUGUGUUAUAGUAAGAGGUUUUAGGCUAAUACCAAGCAAGUCUCAUACACACUAAUCAGAUUAAUAUUUUCGUGUUAUGUCAGGUGCUUAGAAAUAAUGAUUUGAUAAUAGAAAAAGUUUGGUUCAAAAAUAAGAAUAUUCAAUUAUGACUGGAAAAACCGUGUGCUAUAAGAAGGAGUUUUAGGCUUAAAUCAAGCGAAACUCGUAUAGAUUAAUCGGAUUAAGAUUUUCGUGUUCCGUCAGCUCGAGAGGUACUUAGAAAUAAUGAUUUGAUAAUAGAAAAAGUUUGGUUCAAAAAUAAGAAUAUUCAAUUGUGACUAGAAAAACCGUGUGUUAGAGCGAGGGGUUUUGGGCCGAAAUCAAGCGGAACUCGUAUACACUAAUGAGAUUAAGAUUGUCGUGUUCCGUCAGCUCAUGAGGUACUUAGAAAUGAUGAUUUGAUAAUAGAAAAAGUUUGGUUCCAAAAAUGAGAACAUUAAAUUUUGACAAGAAAAACCGUGUGUUAUAGUAAGAGGUUUUAGGUUGAUACCAAGCGGAAAUCGUACACACUAAUCAGAUUAAGAUUUUCAUGUUCUGUCAGCUUGAGAGGUACUUAGAAAUGAUGAUUUGAUAAUAGAAAAAAUUUGGUUAAAAAAUAAGAACAUUUAAUUUUGACAGUAAAAGCUUGUGUUAUAGUAAGAGAUUUUAGGCUGAUACCAAGCAAGUCUCAUAGACACUAAUCGGAUUAAGAUUUUCGUGUUCCAUCAGCUCGAGAGGUACUUAGAAAUGAUGAUUUGAUAAUAGAAAAAGUUUGGUUCAAAAAUAAGAACAUUCAAUUAUGACCAGAAAAACCGUGUGCUAUGCAAUGGGUUUUGGGCCGAAAUCAAGCGAAACUCGUAUACACUAAUGGGAUUAAGAUUUUCGUGUUCCGUUAGCUCGAGAGGUACCUAGAAAUGAUGAUUUGAUAAUAGAAAAUGUGUUUGGUUCAAAAACAAGAACAUUCAAUUUUGACCAGAAAAUCCGUGUGUUAGAGCAAGAGUUUAUGGACCGAAAUCAAGCGGAACUCAUAUACACUAAUGGGAUUAAGAGAUUUUUGUGUUCUGUCAGCUCGAGAGGUACUUAAAUAUGAUGAUUUGAUAAUAGAAAAUGUUUGGUAAAAAAUAAGAACAUUCAAUUUUGACCAGAAAAUCUGUGUGCUAUAGCAAGGGGUUUGAGGCCAAAAUCAAGCGAAACUCGUAUACAGUAAUGAGAUUAAGAUUUUUGUGUUCCGUCAGCUCGAGAGGUACUUAGAUAUGAUAAUUUGAUAAUAGAAAAAGUUUGGUUCAAAAAUAAGAACAUUUAAUUUUGACCAGAAAAACCGUGUGCUAUAGGAAAGGGUUUUGGGCCGAAAUUAUGCGGGACUUGUAUAUACUAAUCGGAUUAAGAUUUUCGUGUUCCGUCAACUCUAGAGAUACUUAGAAAUGAUGAUUUGAUAAUAGAAAAAGUUUGGUUGAAAAAUAAAAACAUUCAAUUUUGACCAGAAAAACCGUGUGCUAUGGCAAAGGGUUUUGUGCCGAAAUCAAGCGAAACUCGUAUACACUAAUCGGAUUAAGAUUUUCAUGUUUUGUUAGCUCGAGAGGUACUUAGAAAUGAUGAUUUAAUAAUAGAAAAAGUUUAGUUCAAAAAUAAGAACAUUCAAUUUGGACCAGAAAAAACGUGUGCUAUAGCAAAGGGUUGUCAAGUGUUCAAUUCUUGUCAAGGGAGAGUUGUAAGCUAAGGAGCCACACUUGGAAUCAUAUUUAAGACUGACAACGAUAUAUAUACAUAUAUCAUAUAAAAGAAAUAUCAUAACAAAAUGCAUUAAAUCAUAAUGAAAUCUCCACUCAUUAAGGUAUAAGAACAUUACACUUUUGAUCAUGUCCAUUUACAUGUUAAUUAUAGUUCGUCAUAAUGAUCAUAUUUCGUUAAUUUAUUGUAAUUGAUAUCUAAUCUUACUUAAUGAGUGUGUUUGUUAGAUCAAUUGGUAUAAUUGAUCACUUAUUUGUUCAAAGAGCAUUAAUUGAUAUCUAAUCUGACACAAUCCCUACUUGCUUAUCCCUACGCCCCAUAAUAAGGCGUAGUACUACCCGCACGAAGCGGUAAAAGAAAUCACCAUCAUUCCUCUUGAAGCGGAAAAGUCACCAUCACUCAACAAAACGGUAUAACAUCUAGAAACCUAUAAACAUCAUUCAAUGCAAAUACGUUUAGUUGAGUACAUGGCAUUAAAUCCGCCAAGUAUAUAAUAUCCAAAUGACACAAUGAAUCCACCAGGUUAUGUCAUCAAUACAGCAGUCCAUAGUCAGUUAUUUGAAUAAACCAUACCAAAGGAUAAACCAGUUUCUUUGAUACUGAUGUAAACCAUCCAAAACAACCAAGCAGUAUAUAUAUAUUUAUCAACAAAGUCCAGAAAAUUCCAUAACACAUAUCUGCAUCCUUGAGAGCAUUGCAUUGCAUUACUCAGACUUUAAUCAAUUCAAGAAACAGAAUUAAUAACAAAAUAUCCUACAAAGGAUAUAGCUUCACUUUGUUUGUUCAUUAUUCUUUCAACCUGCAACUUCUGCAAACAACUCAAACAAAGAAUCAGUAGUGAUAGUGUCCUUUUUCUGUUAAAACAAUAACAGUAAGAAAAUAAUCAGAAUGAAAGGAGUCCUUUUACAGUUAUAGGCAAAGUUGAGUUUCGAUCACAAUUUCAAUGAAAGAACCGGCAAAAUAGAAUUGAUGUCAUAACGGCAACUAUGCCGAGAGCCAUCCUGAGCUAACUUUGGUGCAAGUGGAGUAAAUGUGCAUAUUUGUUGUUGAGCUGAAUUUCACAUUCAGCGGACAACAACAAUGAUGUUACUUGUUCUAAAUCAACAUUACGUUUGCUUCUGAUAAUUUGUGUAGUAGAGCCAUACUGACUUGAAAGUCCAGAAAGAAUAAUUAGCAGGGGACGCACCUGGUUUGUCAGCUCCUCAGUUUCCUCUUCUGCCUCAUCACUAUCUAAGGCGUCAUCUAUAGCGUCGGACAUCAUUUCAGUGUGCAAGGUUUAAACUGUUAUAAUCUGCAUAAAAAACAAAAGUAUAUGAACAUGAUUUUGUGCCAGAAAUCUUACAGUCAUAUCUUGCUUUGCAGGAGCCAUUUGCUGCAACAUGACAUGAAAAUUUACUCAUUAGAACAAUGGGAAGCACUAUAGGAAAAGGACAUUCUCUUGGACUUAAUUUACACGGGGAAGAUAUUUUGUUUGGGAAAGAAGAAUGAUGACUUGGCUCCAUGAGUGAUGAGCGAUGAUGGAGCUUCUUUUAUACUAAUGCAUCUCAUUGGAGCCAGUUUCAAAAUCUUGCAACAUAUUGUUGCUUAAAAGUUAUAACAGCAAACUAUAUCAGAAAUGGUUGAAUGUUACAGACUAACCUUAUUCAUAGCUGCCAUCGCCUUACUAGCACCUUUCAUGCCAGCUGCAACUCAUGACUGGGCGGGCAUUGCCUGCAGGAAGAUAAUUUUAUACUAAGACCGCAACAACAGACCAGCACAAAAAACUGAAUCAGGAUAAAUGUCAUAUAGAGAUUGCGAGUUGACAGCCGACCUGCGUAUGAGUUGCAAUUCCUCUCAUUUGAGCCCUACUUCCUUGUAAGUUAGCUAUCUGUUGCCUGAGCCUGAUUAGCUGCCUGGCCAGUAUCUUAGUUGCUCCCUGCAGAAUUUAACGAAAAAAGGUUGAAGGUUAUACCAACCGACUAUGACAAAAUACAAUGUCAUUCAGUAUUCAUGUACUGAAAAUAACAGUCAAAUACAACAGAGAACAUACAUCAUUUCCUGUUUUAGCAGUUCUCUUUAUCUCAUCAACAAGCUUCUUCUCCUGCCAGGACAGUAAAAUAUAUUCAAUCUAAAGCCAGUAAAACAAAGAUAUGUUAACCAAGUAAGAGCGUUUACUGCAAGCUCUUGACAUAUCUCUAAUUACAAUGCUCCAAUUUCCUUCUCUAUCCCUGUAGCAACAAGGGGAAUGAAAAGCAAAUAAAAUGUUCAAAAUGAUGCCACCUUCUAAACAAUUCGCAAUACCACUAAACCACAAAAGAUUGAACUAAAGCAGAAUCAGGGAAACAUGUCAUAACAAGCUGAUGCUAUCCAAUCCAGAAUAUCUAUGUGUGUGUACCGGUGAAAACUACUAGUCAUCCGGACAAAUCAACAAGCUAUAAAUAACAGACCUAACCGCAAAUCUGAUCCAUUCUAAAUAAGCAGAAUCAUGCAAAUGUGUCAUAACAAGUCGAUGAUAUUCCAUCCACACUACCCUUAUUCAUGUCUAAACACACUGGUUCUGGCCAGUAAGAGUACUUCCAUAGUUCUAACCCACCUAGUCACAAAAUCUAAUCCAGUCUAUUCAAGUAAUGCAAUCCGAAAACUAAACCCCAAUUCCGCAAUCACUCCAAAACUCACACAAAUCAGUUACCUUACAAUAAACCAUCAUAAUCAACACACAAAACACAGACAUUGGUCUGAAUGAAACCUCAUGAUCAUGAUAAAAAAAGAUCACCAUAUCACCCCCAAAAUCAACAGCUUAAUUACCUCUAGUAGCAUUCGCCAUUUCUCUCUUGCUCUCCCGAAGCGCCUCUGCAACAAUUCAGAUCCAAUUCGCAAAGAAAAAGCUUGAAAUUCAGCUCAAAUUGCAAGUUAGCGAAACGAAUUAGAUUGGGGGGAAGCAGAGCUCUCAUUGUCCAACCUUGAGAAUGAUAAGAAGAGAAAGCGGCAUCCUCUUGACUCUUGACUGAGAAGGUGAGACGGGCAUCAAUAAGAAACAUCAAGUAAUAUGAGGAAACCAUGGGCGCGCAGGUAUUGGUGCAUCAGAAAAAGCCAAGUCGGGUUGAUUGGAGGUUGCCAUAUGAGAUCUAGAUGUUAAUUUUUUUUUUUUUUUUUUUUUUUUUUUUUUUUUCUUGGGAACGUGAAGAUGAACAACUGCGAACCCAGAUGAAAUAAUUAAGAAACGCAUGUACGAACCCCAAAAUUGAAGAGAAACAGCUUCAAUCUUGGAUUUUGUGAUGAAUACGGCUGGUAAUUAUUUGAUUUGGAUUGAGUUAGAAAGUUGAUUUGAGAUCGCCAUAUCAGAUCUCGAUGAACAAUUUGGUUUUCUGGGAAUUUUAUGAACAACUGCGAACACAAAACUGAAGAGAUACAGCUUGAAUUCCAAUCGAGAGGAACAGACUUCGGUUUUGUGAUGUGUUCUGGGUUUUCGAUUUGGUACCUUUAUGAAAUUUAAGUAUUUGGGUUAAUCGGAUUUUGAUUUGGUUUGUUGUAAUGUUCUUGGUGGAGGUUGAAGUUGAUUUGAAUCAAUUAGUGUGUUUUGAUAUGAUCUGAUCGAAUCGGAAUCGAAAGAAAGUAAAUCUGAAGUUUACAGUAAUAUUUUUUACGUCGUGGUGAAAAGUAAAUUUUUUAGGGUUUAGGGUGAUUCGGGGUUUAGAGGUUAGGGUUUAGGGUAAAUUAGGGUUUAGGGUAAUUCGGGGUUUAGAGGUUAGGGGUUAGGGUAAUUCGGGGUUUAGAGGUUAAGGGUUUAGGGUUUAGGGUAUUAGGGUUUAGGGUUGAGAGAAGGAAGAAUAGCAGAGAAGACAUUCUAACACAAUCACACCAAUUACAUAUCAAAUUAGAAUCAAAGCUAUAAAGAAAAGUUUGUUUUCCCUACCUGAAUAUAUGAAAACCAACAGCCAAAAUCUCCCAAGAGAAGCAAUAAAACUCCAAAAGCAAUCGCGCUAUAUAAGCACCCAAACAAUCCCAAAGCAAUCAAGCCACCUAAACAAGAUUACAACAGUUUGUACCCGAAUUUUAGAAAAGCUGAAACUGAACAACUGGGUUUGAAAAGAUGAGAGAGAUUCAAACUUACUAGAGUUGGACGAGAUAAACAAGAAGUUUCAAAUCCUGGACAGUGUCCCUAACGACUCUUUGAAGCUACUGAGAAGUGUAGAUUUUCUUUGAAGCUUUCGGGUGAGUGAAUUGAUGUUUGGAACGAAAUAGGAGAAGGAAGAAUCGGGAAAAAAGGAAGAAGGAGGACGUGUAUGGUCGAGAGAUACAAAUCAAUGGCAAAGAGCAAGCAACGUGUUCUUCUAGAAGGGGACUAGCUGUUUCUUUUCCCCCCAAUCAGAUAAUUCCACACAAAGAAUAAUCAAUUCUUAACCAUAAAAUAAAACACACAAAGAAAAAAAAAAAUAAAAACAA
rnacentral:lncRNA from 1 species